GCCGGUGUAGCUCAGGGGUAGAGCAUUCGAUUCGUAAUCGAACGGUCGCCGGUUCAAAUCCGGCCAUCGGCU
rnacentral:tRNA from 3 species